rnacentral:rRNA from 1 species
UACAGAGGGUGCAAGCGUUAAUCGGAAUUACUGGGCGUAAAGCGUGCGCAGGCGGUUUUGUAAGCCAGAUGUGAAAUCCCCGGGCUCAACCUGGGAAUGGCAUUUGGGACUGCAAGGCUGGAGUACGGCAGAGGAGACUGGAAUUCCAGGUGUAGCGGUGAAAUGCGUAGAUAUCUGGAGGAAUACCGGUGGCGAAGGCGGCAUCCUGGACCGGCAUUGACGCUGAUGAGCGAAAGCUAGGGGAGCAAACGGG